rnacentral:rRNA from 1 species
UGGGGAAUAUUGCACAAUGGGGGAAACCCUGAUGCAGCGACGCCGCGUGAGCGAAGAAGGCUUUCGAGUCGUAAAGCUCUGUCCUAUGAGAAGAUAAUGACGGUAUCAUAGGAGGAAGCCCUGGCUAAAUACGUGCCAGCAGCCGCGGUAAUACGUAGGUGGCAAGCGUUGUCCGGAAUUAUUGGGCGUAAAGAGCGCGUAGGCGGUCGUGCAAGUCAAUCUUAAAAGUGCGGGGCUUAACCCCGUGAUGGGAUUGAAACUGUGCGACUGGAGUAUCGGAGAGGAAAGUAGAAUUCCUAGUGUAGCGGUGGAAUGCGUAGAGAUUAGGAGGAAUACCGGUGGCGAAGGCGACUUUCUGGACGAAAACUGACGCUGAGGCGCGAAAGCGUGGGGAGCAAACAGG